rnacentral:misc_RNA from 1 species
AUACGAAGUACACGAGUCGUUUAUAAAAUGCUGUCGAGAUGUUUAAUUAUAUCUUAAUAAUUUCUCCUUCCUCAAAUAUGGAUAAUCUAAGUCAGGAAAUGUAGCAAAAUAAAGCGCUGAUAAAAGUAAGAAAAUAGGAAAAGAAUGGAGUUUAUAUAAAGGAAUUUAUCUCUAGUCAUUCCUAUUCGACGACUUACCCAAUUCUCGUAAAAGCCAAUGAAUAAUGGUCAACUUCCUCUCAUGGAAGAGAAAUAGACUAAUUAUAAUAGAGAAACAUGCUCAUUUAUGAAUUAUAUAUUAAUUUUAGUAUCAGGAGAAUCUUUAUCCCGUCAGAAAAAUAAUGUCCAAGGGGGCAUUUUUAUAGGCAUAUUCUUGGCGUAUGAUAGGCCUGUGAUUAAAUACAUGUUCGCCUUUAUUUAUAGCGAGAAUCCUCGAAUUAGGCUAAUGUUCGUAAGCUCUGUGAAAGGCAUGCAUUCCUUCGGCGCUCUGAGCGUUUCCGCGAGCAACUUUGAAGAUUGUGGCGAAAAGUAGCCGAGAGACGAGUAAAUGCUUUAGGUAUUCUUACUAAACAAUUGCAUUAAAUAUACGAUACAGUUACGUAAAUAUUAAUAAGAAUAAAUCAAUUGUAAACUUAUCCAGCAUUAUAUUAAUAUUAUAAUGUAUCGUGAGACAAAUCAUCUGGAAAACGAAGUUUCUUUGUUGACUAUAUACAAUGAAUGUACCCUAAAAUAACACAUAAUUGAUAAGAAAAAUAUUCUUUAUCAUUAUUUAAAAAUAACCAAUAGUUUUUAGGGAAGGAGCAUCUGGAUGAUUGUUUGUCCCAAGCUAAUUCAAUUUUACAGUACUCACAGUUAGCAGGCGAACAUUUGCAGUUGGUUAGCAGAACUGUAAAUCGUCCUUAAAUUCGACCAACAACUGUCCGCCGUAUCUGUGGUAUUUUGAAAUGGUCUAUAACAUUGAAAAGUUCAAAAACACCUCUUCUAAAGUAAAUUUAGCGCCUCAAGAGUAUAAAGCAUGUAGUAGUCUUGUAAACAGACUAAAACUCUGGAAUAUUGCAACAUACUAUUUUUUUAUUUGCAUUUAUAAGUUGAUGCGAUAGAAAUUUCCAUAUUUUCUCCAUCAAUUAAAUGUAUUAGGGAAAUCCUCUAAGAAACAUAAAAAAAUAGCUAUCUAUUCCGUUAAAGGCGAGAAAAGAGGAAAUAAUAAUGAGUUAGGAGCCUGUUUCGCGACUUAACUAAUGAAAUAAAACAGUAGUUGAGAUAUCGUAAAGUAUAAACAAGUCAAUCUUGUUUCGUAGAACGUGAGAAGUGUUUGUCGGAACCUCUUGCGUUUAUUACGCUGAUUUACUAAAUUCGUAUAAACAUACACAAGUGGGAUUCGAAGGGCGUUGUUGAUUACACAGACACUUCUAUAGAAUUCUAUACAGUGAGAAAAUUUUGUAAACAAUAUAUAUUCGCUACUAAGUCUUGUCUAAACCUCUUAAUAGAAAAGAAGUAUGCAGUACGAGCGUCUCUGCUAAUUAUAAAUCAAUAUUCUACAAAUGCAUUCCGGAACAGGGGUAGCGACGGAUAACAAUAAGACAAAUUAUCUAUUUUGUUCGCCUCAUUUCGCCUACCUGUCAGUGAACCUUUCCACAGGCAAAUCCCCAAAUCGGGGAGUGACGCGCAGAAAAUUAGCCUCAUUUGUUUCAAACUGACUUCUACUCUGUUAAAAGAAUAAAAUAUCCAACUAAAAAGUCAGAAAGGGACGCCUCUUGUAUUUUUUUUUAGUUACAAUAUAAAAGCGAUGCUUAAUGAACGCCGGAGUACUGGGUCAACAACCCAACCUUUGACGUUGAAACGCUCUCUUAAAGUACGACAACCUUUUAGGUGUUUUUUUUGGAGGCUGGGCUGUGCCUUCUUCUUACACAAUUUUUUUUUGAUUUUUAUACUCGGUACUCAUUGCUUGUUUUACGGAAAAAUAGUGACUGACUGCCCGCAGGUCAAGUGCAGCCGGGUGAAGAGAUGCGAUUAGUUAAACUCCUUUUACUCCUCACCACACUAGCUGUCGUAACAUCUACGAAAAGCAGAGGCAGCAGCAGCUUUAAGCACAAAAAACUAUUGAAUAAAGACAAUUACGAUUCAAGAAGAAGUAGAAACCAAUAUGGCCACUCUACAGGAUACGGACCUGAUUAUUCUCUUAUACCAAGAAAGAGGAAGGCAGUUGUUCCUGAUGAGCAACGUCUUCUUGAGACUAUCCUCUAUGAUUACAACACAGCCGCCAGACCCGUAUAUAAUGCGAGUAAGACUGUAACUGUGAAGUUUGGUCUGACCCUUACCCAAAUAGCCGAUAUGGAUGAAGUAAAUCAAGUAUUAACAACUAACGUGUGGCUGGAACAAGAAUGGACGGAUGAACGAUUAACGUGGGACCCGAGCGAUUACAACGGGUUAGAAGUGUUAAGAAUCCCUUGUCAAAGAAUCUGGCUUCCGGAUAUUGUUUUAUAUAAUAGUGCCGAUGACUUUACCGAGGGCUUUAUGCAAACUAAGGCUAUGGUUACGUCUAAAGGCAACGUUUUUUGGCCGCCUCCAGCGAAAUUGCGUUCUAGCUGUAAGAUCGACAUCACUUACUUCCCGUUCGACGAUCAGAAAUGCCAUAUGAAGUUUGGUAGCUGGACUUAUGAUGGACAUCAGGUGGAUAUAACCAAUCGCUCUGAAGUAAUCGAUUUGGAUAACUACGUGUUUUCUGGAGAAUGGCAAUUAUUAUAUAUAAAAAUGAUACGUAAUGAAGUUCAUUAUGGAUGCUGCGAUGAACCAUAUCCGGAUGUAACUUUCUAUAUUGUAAUGAGAAGGCGAACUUUAUAUUAUCUGUUUAACAUAAUAUUCCCAUGUUUGUGGUUAACUGUGCUAUCGCUUCUCGGCUUCUGGUUGCCUCCAGACUCUGGUGAAAAGAUAACUUUGGGUAUUACAGUACUAUUAGCCUUCUCAGUUUUCAUGCUGUUAAUUGCUGAGAGUAUGCCUGCAACGUCGGAAUUUGUACCCCUAAUAGGAAUCUAUUUAACCGUUACAAUGGCAAUGACAUCGUUAUCGAUAGUUUUAACAGUGUUCGUCCUUCAACUACAUCAUGUCGGUCCACAUCAGAAGGCAGUGCCUCUAUUAGUGAGAAAGUUAGUAAUCGAGGGUAUAGGUCGUCUAUUGUGCAUGAAAUCGCACUUGAAACACUACUAUACCCGCCAAACGGAUCAGAACAGAGCUGACGAAAUAGCUCUAUCAAAUUUAGAAGACCAGAACAACGGACGACUUCGAUCUCACGUUCCCGACAUACAGGUCGGUUCAGCCGACCGCAACGUCUCAUAUGACGGUUUAUCCAAUCAUUUACGUAUUCUCGUCUCGAAAAGUGGCGACGAAGAUGACAUGCAGGACAUUAUUAAUGAUUGGCGUCUAGUUGCUCACAUUAUGGAUAGAUUUUUAUUCUGGCUCUUUCUCAUCGGGUCCUUCCUAUCGUCGAUCACAAUUCUCGUUUUCUGCCCCCUCACUAAACCUGCUGUAUAAAAACAUGGCAAGGAAUAUAUUGUACUGUUUGCUCGUCUAUUAAGCGCAGGUUAUAUGCAGCAGUCGUUUCUUAAGAUGCCUAAUUAGCUGUAGACACGACGAAAGAAUCGGGAAUGUUUAGCCGAGAUUCCUUCUUUGAUGGGGUGGAGGAACAAGCAAUUUAUCAUGAAAAAAGCUACGAGCCCUCUCAUCGUUACCAUAUUCCCUAAAAUUCAGGCAAUUCUGAAUCAUUUUUACGUUUCAAUCGUUCUGCUAUGUAAUUGUUUGUACUACAUGUUAUCAGUCGAAAAGAAAAAAAUUAACAAUUUCAAGUUUUCUAAUCAAGUUUAAAUGACUACAAAACUGUAUUUUGAGAAAGACACGAUAACGCCAUCUACAGUCCAUUUAACUAGAAAAAGCAUAUUCCACCAACUCUUCUGCCCUCUUCUUUCUAUCAUAAACGCUUACCCCUUCGCUCAUCUUUGCUCUCUUGGGUCGAGUAGACAUUGUUCGAUUCCUUUUAUUCGAAAUCCACGAAUUCACUUGAUUAACAGUAAGACCGCUAAGACGCGACAUGGUUAUUUUAACCAUUUGAGUCAUAUAGGGAUGAUGAGAAUUCUUCGCCCACCAUUCUUCUAAAAUCUUUGUGGCCUUUGGGUCCAGCUUAUAAGAACCGCGAGUUCUACCUGAACUUUUCGCUUUAACUUCGUUUUGCAUUUGCCUGUGAGCCAUAUUAUAAGGCUCAUAUCUCUGGUUAGGCUCAUAAAACAUAUUCGAUCGAAUCAUGUCAAAUUCUUGCUGGAUUCUUUGCGUUAUUGAAAUUAAUCGAAGAUCAUGGUCGAUUUGUAUCCCAUCAACUUUACUACUGUAUUCUAUGUCAUUAGGGUCGACUUUAGAUAAGUCUGCUUGCUUAUGGUAAUAGGAAAGAUGGCGUUGCUUGUAGUAAUAAUUCAUCAGGUCGCUUAUUUGAGAAUUCCUGUAAGCUCUGAUUUCGGCAAAUUGCCUCUCCAAAUUCACGUGCAAGUUAUACACAGUCCUUUCGAUUUCUUCUCUAUUAUUAACAGUAGAAAUUAGAGUAUGAGGAAUAUUUUGUAAUUGAUUAUCCUUCGGUAAUUGAUUGUCCGUUGAACUUGAAGAUUCUUCUGAUGAAGUUGAAGGAAAUGGCUGAGAGCAAAUAUGAUGAACUUUCUGAUCACCUGCUAUAUAAGUAUGUAAAGCUAACUGCAAAGAAGGAAAGAGAGGAUUACACCGAAUUUCAUCCAACAUGUCAUUGUCUUUUAUCCCUUCGUUACUUAGCAAAAAAGCCAUACUUUUUUUUAGCUAAAGUCAAUUCUGCUCGAAGUUCAUUACUUAAAUGAACGGCAUCUGAUCAAUGAAUGAGUUUAGAACAUUGACAGGCGUAUUGAAUUGCAAUCGUUAUCACUUUCCAAAUAGUUUAACGCAAACUAAUUAUGCAAACUCCGCCCAAUAUUUACACUGAGCGCUAACGAUGAAAGAAGGAAAUUUGCUUAUUGUGUAAUCAAUUAAGGCUGGAUUGCGC